rnacentral:tRNA from 1 species
GAGGGUAUAGCUCAAUGGUAGAGUGUGUGCUUAGCAUGCAUGAGGUCCUGGGUUCAAUCCCCAUCGCCUCCG